CUCCUUUGACGUUAGCGGCGGACGGGUGAGUAACACUGGGUAACCUACCUAUAAGACUGGGAUAACUUCGGGAAACCGGAGCUAAUACCGGAUAAUAUUUCGAACCGCAUGGUUCGAUAGUGAAAGGUGGUUUUGCUACCACUUAUAGAUGGACCCGCGCCGUAUUAGCUAGUUGGUAAGGUAACGGCUUACCAAGGCGACGAUACGUAGCCGACCUGAGAGGGUGAUCGGCCACACUGGAACUGAGACACGGUCCAGACUCCUACGGGAGGCAGCAGCU
rnacentral:rRNA from 1 species